CCUACGGGGGGCAGCAGUGGGGGAUAUUGCACAAUGGGGGGAACCCUGAUGCAGCGACGCCGCGUGGGUGAAGAAGCGCCUCGGCGCGUAAAGCCCUGUCAGCAGGGAAGAAAAUGACGGUACCUGAUGAAGAAGCCCCGGCUAACUACGUGCCAGCAGCCGCGGUAAUACGUAGGGGGCAAGCGUUAUCCGGAUUUACUGGGUGGAAAGGGGGCGCAGACGGCGAUGCAAGCCAGGAGUGAAAGCCCGGGGCCCAACCCCGGGACUGCUCUUGGAACUGCGUGGCUGGAGUGCAGGAGGGGCAGGCGGAAUUCCUGGUGUAGCGGUGAAAUGCGUAGAUAUCAGGAGGAACACCGGUGGCGAAGGCGACCAGCUGGACUGCAACUGACGUUGAGGCGCGAAAGCGUGGGGAGCAAACAGGAUUAGAUACCCUGGUAGUC
rnacentral:rRNA from 1 species